AGUGAACGCUGGCGGCAUGCCUAACACAUGCAAGUCGAACGAUCUUUGGCAGUUUAUCGUCAGAGGUAGUGGCAAACGGGUGAGUAAUACGUGGACAAUCUUCCCUCGAGCGGGGGAUAACUCCGGGAAACCGGAGCUAAUACCGCGUGAGACCACGUCCUGGCAUCAGGAUGGGGUUAAAGCUCCGCAAGGGGCACUUGAGGAGGGGUUCACGGCCUAUCAGCUAGUUGGCGGGGUUAAAGCCCACCAAGGCGACGACGGGUAACCGGUCUGAAAGGACGACCGGUCACAAUGGCACUGAGACACGGGCCAUACUCCUACGGGAGGCAGCAGUGGGGAAUUUUGCUCAAUGGGGGAAACCCUGAAGCAGCGAUGCCGCGUGGAGGACGAAGGUCUUCGGAUUGUAAACUCCUUUUGCUGGUGAAAAAUAGCGGCGUGAAUAACGCCGACUGAUGGGUAACCGGCGAAUAAGCCACGGCUAACUUCGUGCCAGCAGCCGCGGUAAU
rnacentral:rRNA from 1 species